UACGGGGGGGGCAAGCGUUGUUCGGAAUUACUGGGCGUAAAGGGCUCGUAGGCGGCCAACUAAGUCAGACGUGAAAUCCCUCGGCUUAACCGGGGAACUGCGUCUGAUACUGGAUGGCUUGAAUCCGGGAGAGGGAUGCGGAAUUCCAGGUGUAGCGGUGAAAUGCGUAGAUAUCUGGAGGAACAUCAGUGGCGAAGGCGGCCUUCUGGACCAGUACUGACGCUGAGGCACGAAAGCGUGGGGAGCAAACAGG
rnacentral:rRNA from 1 species